CAGAGUUAUACAACUCCUAAACCCAUGUGAACAUACCUCUAGUUGCCUCGGUAGGUGGUGCUCACGUUUAUACCAGUCAUAGUUUGGCUAUGUGCUGGUUGGACGCGGGAUAUCCUCUACCGGUGGACCAUAAAACUCUGUUUUAUUAUUGGAAUUCUGAUUCUUAACUAAAUAAGUUA
rnacentral:misc_RNA from 1 species